CCCUAAGGUUACGUCCCCUCACUCGCCCGCCCAAAUUUUCGCUUAACCGUAAUUUUCGGUUCAUUUAGAAUUUCAAUUCUCCUGUCUAACUUCUUUUCUUCCCGUCGUUCCCGUUUCUCUCGAAAUCCUUCAUAACGAUUACAGCAGACUCCUCUUUACAGUGGAAACCCGAUCGCUUUAGGAAAUGACCGAGAAUCGAAAUUAAAAUCGACAUCUAUGAUAAGAUCAACCGGUUGUCGAUUGGAUUGCUUUUCCAGCGGUUAACCAGGAUAACAAGGCGAUUAUCUGAUGUUGGAGGGAAGAAGAGGUCUUAAUGAUGAUGAAGCGAACCGGCAUGAGGUUAUGUUAGUAACACUCAAACUUUGCUACCUUAAAGCCAGGACUAGGCCACCGAAAGGGAUUGCUAAUAAGUCAGUUCAGUUUUGAGGUCCAUUCUUUUGUUUAUUUUUUGUACACGUGCAGAUUUUAGUUUGCAUACUUCAUGUAAUACAUUAAAUAAUCAAAGUCAAUAGUGAUAAGAAUUUAUGUAGUUUGUCAAUGGGCAUCCUACUGGGCCGCUACCAAAUCUUGGAAGAUCUUCUUGCUGAUGAAUCUUAUCAUUUGCUGCUUUUUUAAUUUUUCCCCUCUAUGGUACACAGAUUGUGACUGUUGAUUCUUCCACUUGCUUUUAUUCUAACCAAGAUAUGGACUGAAUUCUUACUAAAAAGUAAAUUACUGCUUGGAAUGUGAGGCAUAUAGAUUCUCAACUGAAGAUAAUAUCUUGGCAGCUACCCAGAACCUUGCUUGCCGACUGCGCAAGUGGCUAGAUGGACUAACCUUUUGCAAGUGGAACUGUGAUCAUGUGUAUGUUUCACUGCUAGAAUCCAGAAAUUGCUUCCGGACUAAAGGAAGAAGUGCAUGUAGGUCUUGUUGCAAGUAUGGAUCAACAUUUAUGAGUUGCAACGUACAAACUUGCUUGUCGGAGCACUGUCCCAAUGUGAAGCAGCCAGUUGCCUGUUUCUGGUUAGUAUUUUUCCAUGUCAAAAAAAUCAUUCAUGUAUUUGAGGAUUGCUGAUCAUAAAAUUAUAGAGUAUGAUGUCAUUGUCAACAAUUCAACAUCACAAACAGAAUAUAGAAACGUCGGGCUUCGAAAGCAAAUGGGAGCAUAUUCUUUGGCCUUUGUAAGGCUUGCAAUGCUCGCAAAACGCUUUCCAUUCACUUAGCUUCUAUUUGUUGCUCUUUUAGAAAGGCUUUGCUGCUUAGGUGAGUGUCUACCUAUGGUAGCAAAACAAUUCAAGAUGCAUAGAAUUUAAUUAUUCGGCCAGACAUUAUUAGGAAGUUAUAUAGAAUUGCAGUCUCCCAAU